rnacentral:rRNA from 1 species
GACAGGGGAUACAAGCGUUACUCGGAAUUACUGGGCGUAAAGCGCACGUAGGCGGCUUUGUAAGUCAGAGGUGAAAGCCUGGAGCUCAACUCCAGAACUGCCUUUGAGACUGCAUCGCUUGAAUCCAGGAGAGGUGAGUGGAAUUCCGAGUGUAGAGGUGAAAUUCGUAGAUAUUCGGAAGAACACCAGUGGCGAAGGCGGCUCACUGGACUGGUAUUGACGCUGAGGUGCGAAAGCGUGGGGAGCAAACAGG